CAGCCGCCACGGUAAUACAGAGGGUGCGAGCGUUAAUCGGAUUUACUGGGCGUAAAGCGUGCGUAGGCGGCUUUUUAAGUCGGAUGUGAAAUCCCUGAGCUUAACUUAGGAAUUGCAUUCGAUACUGGGAAGCUAGAGUAUGGGAGAGAAUGGUAGAAUUCCAGGUGUAGCGGUGAAAUGCGUAGAGAUCUGGAGGAAUACCGAUGGCGAAGGCAGCCAUCUGGCCUAAUACUGACGCUGAGGUACGAAAGCAUGGGGAGCAAACAGGAUUAGAUACCCCAGUAGUCCCUGUCUCUUAUAC
rnacentral:rRNA from 1 species